UUUAACAUACCUUGAUAUAUUUGAUAUAUAUAUAUAUAUAUAUAUAUAUAUAUAUAUAUAUAUAUAUAUAUAUAUAUAUAUUCAUUAACAAACUUUUAUGUUCUUUGACUCACUCGUGUUCGUAGCAAUAUUAAAUACCAAAAUGAUAAUACUAUACCAUUGUAAUGAUCUGUUCAACUGAAUUACUGCUUUAUUUCUGGGUAUGCUAUGUGUUGCAAAGGGUUUAGAACUUGUGAUGCUAUAUUUACACAGUCACCUAGGCUUGGCGAUCGUUUACAAGCUCCACGUCUUUACAAAAAUUAGAUACCAUGUAUACGCUUGUAUGUAUGUUAGAAUGUUCCGGACAGGCAAACAUGACGUGUAUUUUGGAAUUGUGUCGGUAGUUGCGUUUGACAAAAUAUAUAUCUAAAUUAUUAAGGAAACGAAAAAAUUGACAGAGAAAAUAGUGAAUGUUAAAAAUUCAUAGAUCCGUAAAAGAUCCGUUCGGCCACUCGUGAGUGAAUCUAAACAUACGCCAAACAUGUAAAUAUGUCGCAAUCGGUUACCACAAGUUUUUCCUUGACCAAGAUCACAUUCGUCGCAUUCAGCGGACGUACUGUUACCCAUUAGUAACGGCAUUGUAUAAAGAAUAGGAUUCUUUAUACAAUGGUAACGGUAACGAUCUAGAACAUGUUGAGCGUUUGCUGUCAAGACUUUUUUGUUUUCUGUGUAUUGUUAUUUUAUGACAGAUGUAUUUUCUUGCCAAUUCAUUACUUUUAUCUUAAUAAACGAACUCAGUGAUUUUUUCACAGAACACAGUUGAUAACAAAUUUCACUUUGGCUACAGUUACCUAUACAAAGCGCUCCGAAGCUUGGAGUCCGCUCCAAAAUGUGUUGAAUUUGAAGCAUAUAUGUCACCGAACGAUUCCGCUAAGGUUUUACAACAAGUGCACAACGGCUUCGUCCGCUAAAUGCGACCAUUGAUCUAUGUUCAAUAACCGACACUAGCCUGUAUCGACUACAAGCACAUGCAAGCAAAACUUCUUACCUCGUAUACUUGAUUAAGUUUCUGGACACUUGUCGAGGAUUGCUAAGAAUCUGAACCACGGUCUUACAUAUCGUGUGUAAGACCAUGGUGUAAACAAAGCAUGAAAAAUCUUAGAAAAUAGCUGUUAUAUGUCAAAAUGCCGGCCGUGGGAUAUAUAAUCGAUUUUCCCAUAUGGCUGCAAUUGUUUGUUUCUCUUUGAAAUACUCUUGGGGUAGAUCAUGAAACAGAAGUUGGUAAGUCAAUUACCAACAAGUGUUCUUCAACAGAGUAAUUGGACAAGAGGACUAAAUAAAACCAGU